ACACAUGCAAGUCGAGCGGAUGACGGGAGCUUGCUCCUUGAUUCAGCGGCGGACGGGUGAGUAAUGCCUAGGAAUCUGCCUGGUAGUGGGGGACAACGUUUCGAAAGGAACGCUAAUACCGCAUACGUCCUACGGGAGAAAGCAGGGGACCUUCGGGCCUUGCGCUAUCAGAUGAGCCUAGGUCGGAUUAGCUAGUUGGUGAGGUAAUGGCUCACCAAGGCGACGAUCCGUAACUGGUCUGAGAGGAUGAUCAGUCACACUGGAACUGAGACACGGUCCAGACUCCUACGGGAGGCAGCAGUGGGGAAUAUUGGACAAUGGGCGAAAGCCUGAUCCAGCCAUGCCGCGUGUGUGAAGAAGGUCUUCGGAUUGUAAAGCACUUUAAGUUGGGAGGAAGGGCAGUAAGUUAAUACCUUGCUGUUUUGACGUUACCGAGAGAAUAAGCACCGGCUAACUCUGUGCCAGCAGCCGCGGUAAUACAGAGGGUGCAAGCGUUAAUCGGAAUUACUGGGCGUAAAGCGCGCGUAGGUGGUUCGUUAAGUUGGAUGUGAAAGCCCCGGGCUCAACCUGGGAACUGCAUCCAAAACUGGCGAGCUAGAGUAUGGUAGAGGGUGGUGGAAUUUCCUGUGUAGCGGUGAAAUGCGUAGAUAUAGGAAGGAACACCAGUGGCGAAGGCGACCACCUGGACUGAUACUCACACUGAGGUGCGAA
rnacentral:rRNA from 1 species